rnacentral:tRNA from 1 species
GGGCCCAUAGCUCAGUCGGUUAGAGCAGGGGACUCAUAAUCCCUUGGUCCUAGGUUCGAGUCCUAGUGGGCCCA